rnacentral:lncRNA from 1 species
GGAGGCCGCGGCGCGGGCCCAGGAGCGGCAGGACUCGGGCCGGAGCGUGGCCGGACCCCCACCCGCCGAGGGGCCCAGGGAGGACGCGAGUCACGGUGGCAGCAUUGAGAGUUGGACACCCGGGUCCUUGAAGUGAUCUCUAGGCCCCAGGCUGGCAACUACAGGCGCACGGUACAGCGGGUGGAGGACGGGCACCGGCUGUGCGGGGACCUGGUCAGCUGCUUCCAGGAGCGCGCCCGCAUCGAGAAGGCUUAUGCCCAGCAGUUGGCUGACUGGGCCCGAAAGUGGAGGGGGACCGUGGAGAAGGGCCCCCAGUAUGGCACACUGGAGAAGGCCUGGCAUGCCUUUUUCACGGCGGCUGAGCGGCUGAGCGCGCUGCACCUGGAGGUGCGGGAGAAGCUGCAAGGGCAGGACAGUGAGCGGGUGCGCGCCUGGCAGCGGGGGGCUUUCCACCGGCCUGUGCUGGGCGGCUUCCGCGAGAGCCGGGCGGCCGAGGACGGCUUCCGCAAGGCCCAGAAGCCCUGGCUGAAGAGGCUGAAGGAGGUUGAGGCUUCCAAGAAAAGCUACCACGCAGCCCGGAAGGAUGAGAAGACCGCCCAGACGAGGGAGAGCCACGCAAAGGCAGACAGCGCCGUCUCCCAGGAGCAGCUGCGCAAACUGCAGGAACGGGUGGAACGCUGUGCCAAGGAGGCCGAGAAGACAAAAGCUCAGUAUGAGCAGACGCUGGCAGAGCUGCAUCGCUACACUCCACGCUACAUGGAGGACAUGGAACAGGCCUUUGAGACCUGCCAGGCCGCCGAGCGCCAGCGGCUUCUUUUCUUCAAGGAUAUGCUGCUCACCUUACACCAGCACCUGGACCUUUCC